AUUGAACGCUGGCGGCAUGCCUUACACAUGCAAGUCGAACGGCAGCGCGGACUUCGGUCUGGCGGCGAGUGGCGAACGGGUGAGUAACAUAUCGGAACGUGCCCUGGAGUGGGGGAUAACUAGUCGAAAGACUAGCUAAUACCGCAUACGCCCUGAGGGGGAAAGUGGGGGAUCGCAAGACCUCAUGCUCGUGGAGCGGCCGAUAUCUGAUUAGCUAGUUGGUGGGGUAAAGGCCUACCAAGGCGACGAUCAGUAGCUGGUCUGAGAGGACGACCAGCCACACAGGGACUGAGACACGGCCCAGACUCCUACGGGAGGCAGCAGUGGGGAAUUUGGACAAUGAGCGAAAGCCUGAUCCAGCCAUUCCGCGUGCAGGAUGAAGGCCCUCGGGUUGUAAACUGCUUUUGUACAGAACGAAAAGGUUUCUACUAAUACUAGGAGCUCAUGACGGUACUGUAAGAAUAAGCACCGGCUAACUACGUGCCAGCAGCCGCCGCGG
rnacentral:rRNA from 1 species